AACACCCGAAGCCAGUGGCCCAACCCCUUGGGGAGGGAGCUGUCGAAGGUGGGGUCGGCGAUUGGGGUGAAGUCGUAACAAGGUAGCCGUAGGUGAACCUGCAGAAGGAUCA
rnacentral:rRNA from 1 species